UACGUAGGGGGCAAGCGUUGUUCGGAAUCAUUGGGCGUAAAGAGCGCGUAGGCGGCUUGGUAAGUCCGCUGUGAAAGUCCAGGGCUCAACCCUGGAAAGCCGGUGGAAACUGUCAAGCUUGAGUCCGGAAGAGGCGAGUGGAAUUCCUGGUGUAGCGGUGAAAUGCGCAGAUAUCAGGAGGAACACCAGUGGCGAAGGCAGCUCGCUGGGACGGUACUGACGCUGAGACGCGAAAGCGUGGGGAGCAAACAGG
rnacentral:rRNA from 1 species